rnacentral:lncRNA from 1 species
CGGGAAGACCGACUUGUGGACACUCAGUGGACACACGGGCCAAACUGGGUGGAAACGUGCCAUAGAGUUACACCCGGUCCAGUUCUAGGACACUGGGGAACCGGAGACGAGAGCGGAGACGUACAUGAACAAUAAAUGGACUGACGUCAACAGGAACAGAGGAGGAUUCAGGUGCCUCGGAGGAGUUCAGCCUGAGCCUGGUGGACCAGAAUGGCAGUUGGCAUACUAUGAUUUCAUGAUGGGCAAGGAUUGCUGCCAAAACACAAGUCUCCUCCACUGAACUCCUGAUACCUCAGCUCACUUCCACAGAGAUCAAUCAGCUUUCAUUCCACAAAGGGAGCAGACACGAACCGGACACGAAGCACUGGGACAGGAGAGAACCCGUGUGGAUGGGAGCUUCUCCCAGGAGGUGGUGAAGGUGUCAGCAUCAUUUAUCAAGUGUUCACUCUGUGCCAGGCCCGGGGCUGAGUGUCUACACAUCCGAUGGCCGUGCUUUCAGUCCACAAACCCAGUGGGACAAGAACUGAACUAUAACUUCCUUUCUUUCUUCCCACCUGAACUGUGUUAUUAUUUUGCGCCUCCAGUUUGCCGAGUGGCGGAAACCUGAUCUCAGGCCAUUCGAUCCCACCCUGCCUGGGUGGGUUGAUGUCUUAAGUUCCAGGGCCCUUACAGGGUAUGGAGGCAUGGCGGCACUGGGAGAGGU